rnacentral:rRNA from 1 species
UCUUGGUCAUUUUAGAGGAAGUAAAAGUCGUAACAAGGUUUCCAUAGAACAAGUCCUUCCGUGGGUAACACUUGCUGAAGCAUUAGCAGCCCGAAAGGGUGCCCCCCAGCGACUAUAAACAACUAGAGGGUCUGAAAUGCUAGUCUCCUCCCUGAUAGGGAGGAAGGCAACACUGUCAAAUUGCGGGAAACCCCUAAAGACCUUGACACCAAGCGUUUACUGGAAACCGUAGCGUGGCCGAGCUAAUUGCCCUGGGUAUGGUAAAAGUUCAAGGUAUGAGUCCAAGUAAUUGGAUGAAAUGGGCAAUCUGCAGCCAAAUCCUAAGGAUACCCUAUCUAGGGGAUCUAUGGAUGCUGUUCACAGGCCAAAUGGCAGUGGGUGAAAGGAAAAUAAAAACAUUCCCUUUGCUUAAGAUAUGGUCGGUCCCCCAGUGAAAAUUGGGGGAACAAGUUUACUCUGAGAAAUGAAAGAACUUUCAUUUCAGUAACAAAUGUUCCGUAGGUGAACCUGCGGAAGGAUCAUUACUGAGUAAGGGUCUUAUGGCCCAACCUCCAACCCCCUGUAUACUACCAAGCUCUUCUAUGUUGCUUCGGUGGGCUGCAAUGUCUACCGAAGCACAACAAAAACUCUUAUAAUUGAUGGUGUCUGAGUAAAUUAAGAAAUUAUUAAAACUUUCAACAACGGAUCUCUUGGUUCCCGCAUCGAUGAAGAACGCAGCGAAAUGCGAUAAGUAAUGUGAAUUGCAGAAUUCAGUGAAUCAUCGAAUCUUUGAACGCACAUUGCGCCCCUUGGUAUUCCGAGGGGCAUGCCUGUUCGAGCGUCAUGAUCAAAUCUCAAGCCUAGCUUGGAAUUGGGCUUUCGUCUCCUGCCAUUGCGGCUAGUUGAGACGUGCCUAAAAAGAAAUGGCGAUGCCUCAAUGGACUCUAGCGUAGCAGACUGACUUGCGCUUGGAGGGCUGCUGUAGGUUUUUGCUAAUAAAACAAUCAAGUUGGACCUCGGAUCACGUAGGGAUACCCGCUGAACUUAAGCAUAUCAAAAACCGGGAGGAA